GGAAUCUGGGAGGACCAUCUCCUAAGGCUAAAUACUCUCUAGUGACCGAUAGUGAACCAGUACCGUGAGGGAAAGGUGAAAAGCACCCCGGAAGGGGAGUGAAAUAGAACCUGAAACCGUGUGCUUACAAGUAGUCAGAGCCCGUUAAUGGGUGAUGGCGUGCCUUUUGUAGAAUGAACCGGCGAGUUACGAUUUGAUGCAAGGUUAAGCAGUAAAUGUGGAGCCGUAGCGAAAGCGAGUCUGAAUAGGGCGUUUAGUAUUUGGUCGUAGACCCGAAACCAGGUGAUCUACCCUUGGUCAGGUUGAAGUUCAGGUAACACUGAAUGGAGGACCGAACCGACUUACGUUGAAAAGUGAGCGGAUGAACUGAGGGUAGCGGAGAAAUUCCAAUCGAACCUGGAGAUAGCUGGUUCUCUCCGAAAUAGCUUUAGGGCUAGCCUCAAGUGAUGAUUAUUGGAGGUAGAGCACUGUUUGGACGAGGGGCCCCUCUCGGGUUACCGAAUUCAGACAAACUCCGAAUGCCAAUUAAUUUAACUUGGGAGUCAGAACAUGGGUGAUAAGGUCCGUGUUCGAAAGGGAAACAGCCCAGACCACCAGCUAAGGUCCCAAAAUAUAUGUUAAGUGGAAAAGGAUGUGGCGUUGCCCAGACAACUAGGAUGUUGGCUUAGAAGCAGCCAUCAUUUAAAGAGUGCGUAAUAGCUCACUAGUCGAGUGACACUGCGCCGAAAAUGUACCGGGGCUAAACAUAUUACCGAAGCUGUGGAUUGUCCUUUGGACAAUGGUAGGAGAGCGUUCUAAGGGCGUUGAAGCAUGAUCGUAAGGACAUGUGGAGCGCUUAGAAGUGAGAAUGCCGGUGUGAGUAGCGAAAGACGGGUGAGAAUCCCGUCCACCGAUUGACUAAGGUUUCCAGAGGAAGGCUCGUCCGCUCUGGGUUAGUCGGGUCCUAAGCUGAGGCCGACAGGCGUAGGCGAUGGAUAACAGGUUGAUAUUCCUGUACCACCUAUAAUCGUUUUAAUCGAUGGGGGGACGCAGUAGGAUAGGCGAAGCGUGCGAUUGGAUUGCACGUCUAAGCAGUAAGGCUGAGUAUUAGGCAAAUCCGGUACUCGUUAAGGCUGAGCUGUGAUGGGGAGAAGACAUUGAGUCUUCGAGUCGUUGAUUUCACACUGCCGAGAAAAGCCUCUAGAUAGAAAAUAGGUGCCCGUACCGCAAACCGACACAGGUAGUCAAGAUGAGAAUUCUAAGGUGAGCGAGCGAACUCUCGUUAAGGAACUCGGCAAAAUGACCCCGUAACUUCGGGAGAAGGGGUGCUCUUUAGGGUUAACGCCCAGAAGAGCCGCAGUGAAUAGGCCCAAGCGACUGUUUAUCAAAAACACAGGUCUCUGCUAAACCGUAAGGUGAUGUAUAGGGGCUGACGCCUGCCCGGUGCUGGAAGGUUAAGAGGAGUGGUUAGCUUCUGCGAAGCUACGAAUCGAAGCCCCAGUAAACGGCGGCCGUAACUAUAACGGUCCUAAGGUAGCGAAAUUCCUUGUCGGGUAAGUUCCGACCCGCACGAAAGGCGUAACGAUUUGGGCACUGUCUCAACGAGAGACUCGGUGAAAUCAUAGUACCUGUGAAGAUGCAGGUUACCCGCGACAGGACGGAAAGACCCCGUGGAGCUUUACUGUAGCCUGAUAUUGAAAUUCGGCACAGCUUGUACAGGAUAGGUAGGAGCCUUUGAAACGUGAGCGCUAGCUUACGUGGAGGCGCUGGUGGGAUACUACCCUAGCUGUGUUGGCUUUCUAACCCGCACCACUUAUCGUGGUGGGAGACAGUGUCAGGCGGGCAGUUUGACUGGGGCGGUCGCCUCCUAAAAGGUAACGGAGGCGCUCAAAGGUUCCCUCAGAAUGGUUGGAAAUCAUUCAUAGAGUGUAAAGGCAUAAGGGAGCUUGACUGCGAGACCUACAAGUCGAGCAGGGUCGAAAGACGGACUUAGUGAUCCGGUGGUUCCGCAUGGAAGGGCCAUCGCUCAACGGAUAAAAGCUACCCCGGGGAUAACAGGCUUAUCUCCCCCAAGAGUUCACAUCGACGGGGAGGUUUGGCACCUCGAUGUCGGCUCAUCGCAUCCUGGGGCUGUAGUCGGUCCCAAGGGUUGGGCUGUUCGCCCAUUAAAGCGAUACGCGAGCUGGGUUCAGAACGUCGUGAGACAGUUCGGUCCCUAUCCGUCGUGGGCGUAGGAAAUUUGAGAGGAGCUGUCCUUAGUACGAGAGGACCGGGAUGGACAUACCUCUGGUGUACCAGUUGUCGUGCCAACGGCAUAGCUGGGUAGCUAUGUGUGGACGGGAUAAGUGCUGAAAGCAUCUAAGCAUGAAGCCCCCCUCAAGAUGAGAUUUCCCAACUUCGGUUAUAAGAUCCCUCAAAGAUGAUGAGGUUAAUAGGUUCGAGGUGGAAGCAUGGUGACAUGUGGAGCUGACGAAUACUAAUCGAUCGAAGACUUAAUCAA
rnacentral:rRNA from 1 species